ACAACUAUACACUGUAAUUUAAUAAUCCAUGUGUCGCCACAUUUGAGUUCCUUACCUUACCUCCAUACCUCAAAGCUCUUCAGACACUAAACCCAUGGGCCAUGUCCAUCAAGAAGGUCAGCAGGAGAAGUACCUUGUGUCAAUUCUAUCCCAAAAAACAUGCACCUGAAUAAUUUGCAACUCUUAUUAGCAAGUGCAAUUGCAUGCCUGUUAUUUAGAUAUUAUU
rnacentral:lncRNA from 1 species